CUACGGGCGGCAGCAGUGGGGAAUAUUGGACAAUGGGCGCAAGCCUGAUCCAGCCAUGCCGCGUGAGUGAUGAAGGCCCUAGGGUUGUAAAGCUCUUUCAACGGUGAAGAUAAUGACGGUAACCGUAGAAGAAGCCCCGGCUAACUUCGUGCCAGCAGCCGCGGUAAUACGAAGGGGGCUAGCGUUGUUCGGAAUAACUGGGCGUAAAGCGCACGUAGGCGGAUUGGAAAGUUAGAGGUGAAAUCCCUGGGCUCAACCCAGGAACUGCCUUUAAAACUAUCAGUCUAGAGGUCAAGAGAGGUGAGUGGAAUUCCGAGUGUAGAGGUGAAAUUCGUAGAUAUUCGGAGGAACACCAGUGGCGAAGGCGGCUCACUGGCUUGAUACUGACGCUGAGGUGCGAAAGUGUGGGGAGCAAACAGGAUUAGAUACCCGCGUAGUC
rnacentral:rRNA from 1 species